CCUACGGGAGGCAGCAGUGAGGAAUCCUGGACAAUGGGCGAAAGCCUGAUCCGGCCACGCCGCGUGAGUGAUGAAGGUCUUCGGAUCGUAAAGCUCUGUCGUGGGGGAAGAAUAUAUGACUGUACCCCAUAAGAAAGCACCGGCUAACUCCGUGCCAGCAGCCGCGGUAAUAAUCAC
rnacentral:rRNA from 1 species